rnacentral:tRNA from 1 species
GCGCCCUUAGCUCAACUGGAUAGAGUAUCUGACUACGGAUCAGAAGGUUAGGGGUUCGACUCCCUUAGGGCGUGCCA